rnacentral:tRNA from 1 species
GCAGGCAUGGCUGAGUAGAAAAAGCAUUGGACUUGAAAUCCACUCGGACCUAUUUUCCUGCGCAGGUUCAAACCCUUCCUAUUGCG